GAAUUGACCCUACGAAGAUGGCACAUGAGGAGCAGCUUUGUUCAUAGAUGAACAGUACUGAUCAUGCUUUGUGGCUUAUGGACUUCAGGAUAAACACAUGAAAAGCUCAGACAUGAUUCUGCAGGCUGCAAAUUGUGUCGGUGGCAUUCAGUAAGCUCGCCAAGUUAUUCAGAACUCAAUUCUUAGAUGUUAGUUGUGUCGUCCUUCUCUGUGGGUUUGCACGCUAUUUACGCCCAUGAGCAGAAUCGACAUCAGGGAUCUCCAUACAUCCAUAUGCUCUUCGUCAGCCAGAGCCCUUUCAAUUGCCAAUUGCCAUGGUCUGCUGAAUUGAUUCAUUUGUUGAAAGAUCCAGUUCUUCUUAACUUACCUUUUAUUCCAUGUCGCCUCCUCCCACCAGCUAGAGAAAUCCACCAUAUAUGGAGAGUAUGGAGCACACGAAGCUAUGGAGAAACCAAAUGCUACUGCAAUUUCUUGGGCUAGCUUGCCUCCUGAAAACUGAAUUGCCUUGAGAUUUGAUUGAAAGAUUUGCCUUUCCCGAUGGUCUUUGGUUGGUUAUUCAGUACUCUUGGAUUUUAUAGUGAUGUUGCCACAACAAAAACAUUAGAUUUCUAUAGUGAACUGCGACAUACUCACAGUCCAGCUGAGAAAUUGAUAUUUAUUUUGUACCUGUGAAUACACGUAUUGUAGCUAUUUGAUUUUGAGUAGUUCGGCUAGAUGGAACGGUGGGUUUUCAUUGUUGUAGUAGAUAUUUGAGUUUGAGUAUGCAGUCCCGCUGAUGGGCAAGCAGACUCUUGCUGCGCCAGC